CCCAGGGAAUCCACCCUGAGAAUACUUAACACGAGCCACACCAUCCAAAAGAAGGGCUUCUAUAAAGGUCUGGAAGCAUCUCUGAAAAUUUUACUUGCUUCCUUUUUUACUUACUUUCCUUCCUACUUUGCCAUCUCGGAAGACUGCCUCACAGCUGGAAAUCAGGAUAUUCCUGGGAGCUGAAUGGGAAAGAUCAUUUAUAUAUUCUUUUUUUUUUCUUCAAAUGUUGUACCACUCCAUAAUGGCAAGCCUGUUGAAGAUCCACAGCAAACAGAUAAAGUGAAGGAUUUAGUAGAAACUUGGAAGAGCAAGACUCUUUUUGCAUUAGACGGGAGGAUGCUGAGUACCUGGGAGAAGUGAAUUGAUGCCCCUGGAAAUCUGACCAGGUCCUGAUCUGAGAUUUUAUCACCUGUGGAUCUAUUGAUCACAGCUAGUACCCACAGCUUCAAUGUCCGAGCCCUCAAUGCGCUCAAAUAAAGAAAACGAUCUUUUCUGCUACAGCUUCAUUUCCUGGCCAUCAUUCUGCAGAGGUCAGUGUAAGGGCUCCCUCACCAGAAAUUAUAAUUAAAACAACUAACUUUAAUUGAGCAUUUACUAUGCAAUAUGUGGUUUAGUAGUUGAUUUAUGUCUACUAUGUGAAUUCCCACAAUGACUGUAUGGCAUCUCUACUAUUAUUUUCUCAAUUUACUUAGGAGGAAGUUGAUAUUUAAGGAAUGUGGGCGACUUGUCCAAGGCAACUCAGCCAGUAAGUAGUGAGGAAAACAUCACUCUCAUCACCAUAUUUUGUCAGUUUCUCUGUCAUGGGGUUGGGCCAUCUCUCCCCAAGAAACUACAUGAUGAUGGUUCAAAGGUACGUGAACUACAUCAGUUCCCUCCUAAAUUACUAAUACAAUUUCUUCUCUGUGAUUGUUAGCCAAUCACAUAGAAUUAGGAAGUCAGGAGACCAGAAUUCUAGUUUUAGGUCUUCUGGCAUGUGCACAAAAAAAAUCAUUUAACCCUUUGGGUCUUUGAAUACUUUUAUGCAAAUGGGUUAAUUCUUGGCUAGCUGUAUCGCAAUGCUGUUUGUAACUAUUGAUUAAGGUAACUCCAUGAAAGUUCUCUGCAAACCUUAUAGUGAUGUGAAGAUUACUCAGAUUCUGAUGCAAACUACUUUACUCUUCUCCCCUCCACUCCAGAUGGAAGAACAUUCCAAGUCUGUUUCUAGGGGUAUUACUCACUAUCUAAGUUAGAGAUAUUCAUAAGAGUCAAGACUCUGACUCUUGUUCCCACUAAUAGGAUUAUGCUUGGAAAAUGUUCCUAAACCUUGGAUUAAAAGAGAGAUUAUGGUAUUAAUGGUUUUAUUUUUCAGAAUACUAUAUUUCUGGUUGAGCUAAAAGGUUGAAAGGCUAAAAUUCAUACCAGGGAAUUAUAAUGUUUCCAGUGAAUUUUCUGAGAAAAAAACAAAACCACUAUUUAGGUUUUCAUUUCUUCAACAUCAUUGAGAACCUACUGUGGGUCACGUACUCUAGUUCAGUGCUCAAAGAGGGAAGAAAAUAAUAUUCAGCAUUGGCCUAAGAGGGGAAUGACCUCUGAGUGGAUGGAGCAGCAUCCACAACAGCUUGAAUGUAAAACAGCAUGUGAGAUCAGCAGAUCUUCCAAAAAUGACACUUGAGCACUAAAGAGGAGGGCCAGAUAUUAAUUGCCCUGUAUUCUAUGUUAAAAUGUUUGCACUUUAUCCCAAGGGCUAUGAGGAGUCACUGACAAAUUUUAAACAUAAAACAAUUCUUAUAUUUUAAAAAUAAAUCUCAGGUUCAAAUAGAGAGUAGAUUGGUUGGAUGGGUCAAAUUUUUUUCCCUCUUUCUCC
rnacentral:lncRNA from 1 species